GAUGAACGCUGGCGGCGUGCCUAAUACAUGCAAGUCGAGCGAACGGACGAGAAGCUUGCUUCUCUGAUGUUAGCGGCGGACGGGUGAGUAACACGUGGAUAACCUACCUAUAAGACUGGGAUAACUUCGGGAAACCGGAGCUAAUACCGGAUAAUAUUUUGAACCGCAUGGUUCAAAAGUGAAAGACGGUCUUGCUGUCACAUAUAGAUGGAUCCGCGCUGCAUUAGCUAGUUGGUAAGGUAACGGCUUACCAAGGCAACGAUGCAUAGCCGACCUGAGAGGGAGCUCGGCCACACUGGAACUGAGACACGGUCCCGACUCCUACGGGAGGCAGCAGUAGGGAAUCUUCCACGCUGGGCGAAAGCCUGACGGGGCAACGCCGCGUGAGUGAUGAAGGUCUUCGGAUCGUAAGACUCUGUUAUUAGGGAAGAACAUAUGUGUAAGUAACUGUGCACAUCUUGACGGUACCUAAUCAGAAAGCCACGGCUAACUACGUG
rnacentral:rRNA from 1 species